rnacentral:misc_RNA from 1 species
AGAAAGGUGGCGUGCGGUUAUGUAGUAAUUCGGGGUAAAUAGCGUGUGGUUGUUUCUUUCUUUUUAACCUCAAACUUCACAAUGCACGAGAACUCAAACGCAGCCUGCUGCAACUUCUGUAACUGCAACAGCUACAGAAUCUGUCCAUUUCCCAAUAAAUAUUCACUAAAAUUUUCAAACCCCACAUUGUUUCGCUUCACACUAAUCUAUCAAGAUUAAAGUCAAGUAAAGUAAUGAGCUUUCUCUCUUUCUAUCUCUCUCUUGUUCAUCUUCCAAAUGUAAACCCGACUAAAUGCCAUUUUUAAGCCCCUAUUUCGAUGUUUUGAGCAAAAUCCCAGAAAAACUUUGAUACCGGUGGCUUUUAGAUUGCAGACAAAGGGGGAGGGCUAAAACCGUCUUCUUUUUCUUCUUUAUUUUUCUUCUUUUCCCGGUAAGAAUAAGAAGGAUUUGCUUUAUCUUUGCGGGUUUUGUUUGAUUGCGGGAUUGUGUUUUGUGGUACUUUCUUUGAAUCUUUUGUUUUAGUAUUUUGAUGAUGAAAGCAUGUUCAGGUUUAAAGCUCUAACAUUUCUUAAUCUUUGGUCAGUUGGUUGGUUGGCUAAUUUGGUUUCUUGCUUUUUUAAACCCAUUGAUUGAUUGAAUCAUUAUGGAUUUUUAAUUAGUUUGAAUCUCUUCACUCUCUUUUGAGCGCAAAUCCAAUAUGUUAAUAUUUGUUUAAUCAACCUUUUGAUGUCAUAAUUAACUCUGAUAACCUUCUUUAUUUCUUUAAUCUUAGCUGUUUGUAGCCACUACCCAUAGUUUAAGGCACUUGACCCGUAAUGUUGUUUCUUCUUAGAGCUUGCUGUGCAUUGUUUAAACCCAUUUUUAUAAUGAUUUCCAUUUUCCUAUUCAUUUGCUUCAAUUCUACUGUUUUUGAAAGCUAAAUAUUCCUUUCAACGUAUCAUUGUUAGAUCUGACUCAGUUUAGGGUUUUAAUCUUUCAAAGGGAUGGAGUAUGCCACCACUAAACCCUCUAAACCCUCUUCAAACAUAUCAGAAAUGGUCUCUAAAUUUACAAAAGUUUGCAAACUGAGAUCCAUUGGUGUGUUUUCCAAUGAAAACCCAAAUCAGAACCCCCACCGUUAUCACCGCAGCCUGAAUGACAACAAUAUUCAAUCAGUGGGUGAAGAUAGCAGUGAUGCCACUGAAGAAACAGAGUGUGCUGAUGAGAAAAUCCAUCCACAGCCUGCUGUAGUUCCCGUCAAAGCCAAUAUGUAUGGUGGAGACUUCAUUCUUCAGUUAUUUGAAUCGAUUUCUGCCAUGAAAUUAGCUUAUAUUCAGCUUCAGGAAGCUCAUGUUCCUUAUAACCCUGAUAAGAUUAUAGCUGCUGAUGAAUGUGUUGUGGCUCAACUCGAAGCACUUUGUAAGAUCAAGCGCAGUUUUAAAGAGAAACAAUUCAUUAAAGCCAAGCCUGAUUCCUCUUAUGUUGAUUGUGUACAAGCUGAAAUUGAAGUUAAUGAGAAGCUGUUAGAGAAACUAAAGACCCAAAAAAGAUUUAAAGAUGCUGAGAUUGUUCAUUUGCGACAACAACUCCAUGAUUUGGAUUUGGGGAAUGCCAUCUUGGUAGAGAAGGUAAGACAGAAAAGUUUGGAGAGAAAAAAUGUGAGGGCUUUAAAUAUUGCCAUGUUUCAGGACACCUUUAUAGCAGCUUCAAAGUCUAUUCAUGAUUUCGCAAAGCCAGUAAUUAGCUUGAUGAAAGCUUCAGGUUGGGACUUAGACCAGGCAGCCAAUUCAGUUGAACCUGGGGCUGUUUACUCCAAAAGGUCUCAUAAGAAGUAUGCGUUUGAGGCCUACAUUGCGCGAAGAAUGUUUCAUGGGAUAUCACUUAAAUCCUACAAUGUCGAUGAUGUUAUGAGGUUUGAUGAUCCCAUUGAUUCUCUGAUAGAAAAUCAUAAUUCAGGUUUUGCCAAGUUCUGCAGAAAAAAGUACUUAUUUGUUAUUCAUCCAGUAAUGGAGAUGUCCUUCUUUGGUAAUUUGGAUCAGAGGAUGUUUGUAUUGGGUGGCAAGCAUCCAAGGACACCAUUCUAUCAAAUAUUUGCAAGAAUGGCAAAGUGGGUUUGGGUUCUAAAGGGGAUUGCAACCUCAGUUGAUCCCAAAGCCGAAAUAUUUGCUGUGAGUAGGGGAAGCAAAUUCUCAGAUGUUUAUAUGGAAUCUAUAGAAGGGGAAGAUACAUUCAUCCCUAAUGGAGAACAGUCUGAUAUCAAAGUCGAGUUUAUGGUGAUGCCUGGGUUCAGAAUUGGAGACACAUUGGUGAGGUCGCAGGUUUAUCUUUCGGAAGUGAAGCCAAUUUGCUGUGCAUGAUAGAUGGAGGUGCUCUAAUGACGGGUAACCUUGCAAAACUAAUUCUGUUAUUUUGAACAUGUCAAUUCCUAGCUAAGUUAGUUUAGAGCUACUAUUUUUGUUUUUGAGAUUAUAGCUAGGUACAAUGUGGUGGCUGGUGGGAUUAGAAAACUAGAAGCUCAAAGCUUGUACUUCUUACCCGUCGUUUCUUUUACAUCUAUAAUUGUCAUAAGCUGCAAAAGUUUUGUUGCAUGCUUCUUGAAUUGUAAAUAGAUAUCUACUUGUUGAUGCCAUUAUAUUUAUUCCUUCGUUACUUCCUGACUGUAGACUUUAGGAUUAAAAAUGUGUUGGUGUAAUCUGUCUAAUCACCUGCAAACUGUACUGUGUCCUUAUCUCAUGUGUAAUUAUAUUAAAGAACAUGCUAAGUUUCUCUUCAAUGGAAUUGUAGGAAAUCUUGCUAUAUGACACUUUUAUUGUCUGGGAAAGAAGUUAUAUAUUUUGCUUCAAAGCUCAGGAGUUAAAAUAUUCCUGUGUUUUAAUUUAGAGGGACAUGAUCUAAUAUUUAGAUAUAUCCAUAUCUUAGGUUUUAUUUUAUGUCCAUUUAUAUAUUAUCUUAUAGGCAUAGAGGCACAAUGGAUUGAAUUUUAGUUUCUUAGUUUUCAUCAGAGUCGUGUUUUACCUUUUUUUCAAAUUUAAGCUUCUGGUCUCGCUAGUAAAAGUAAUGUCAAGUUUGCUUGUAAUUUAGUAUCAUGAAUCUUGGAAUAAGCAGGAACAUUGCAUUUCAAUUUCUUUCAGUGGCUUAAAAUUUCUUUUUUUCCCCUCUGCAUACACAUGUCAUAGUGUUUGGAUAGAUGUGUUAUACACCCAUUAGAAAUAAACCUUUGAAAAUUGGCUUUAUUCCUUCAAUUAUCUACUGUGUUACAAUGAUCUAAUACAGUUAAAUCAAAGAAAGCUGCUGCUUCUUCUUC